AUUGAACGCUGGCGGCAGGCCUAACACAUGCAAGUCGAGCGUGCGGCGGACGGGUGAGUAAUGUAUGGGGACUCCUCGAUAUAGGGGGAUAACUACUGGAAACGGUAGCUAAUACCGCAUACUAUCUGCUAACCCAUAUGGGAUUAGCUAGUAGGUGCGGUAAUGGCUCACCUAGGCGACGAUCCCUCGCUGGUCUGAGAGGAUGAUCCGCCACACUGGGACUGAGACACGGCCCAGACUCCUACGGAGGCAGCAGUGGGGAAUAUUGCACAAUGGGCGCAAGCCUGAUGCAGCCAGGCCGCGGGUAUGAAGAAGGCCCUAGGGUUGUAAAGUACUUUCAGUCGGGAGGCGUUACCGACAGAAGAAGCACCGGCUAACUCCGUGCCAGCCGCCGCGGUAAUAC
rnacentral:rRNA from 1 species